GGGCAUGAGGGUGACCUGGCUGUCACCCCACUGGUCACCAGGGUUGACUAGGCUGAGCUGGCUGGUGAGGCGGGAGUCCCUUCCUGCCCGCUUGCUCCGUGUGUGUCUCCCCCACGGCUGCACACUCAGCUGCAAAGGCCAGCCACCCCGCGGGACGGUCCUGGUGAGGGGCGAGUACUGCGCGCCUGCUAGAGCUCGCAGCAAGCUCUUGCCGCACCACCACGGGACAGCAGCUAGAGACCACGUAGCGGCAAGACUGAGAGAGCUCAGUAGGAUAAGCGCUUGCCUGGCAAGUGC
rnacentral:sRNA from 1 species